AUUGAACGCUGGCGGCAUGCCUUACACAUGCAAGUCGAACGGCAGCACGGGUGCUUGCACCUGGUGGCGAGUGGCGAACGGGUGAGUAAUGUAUCGGAACGUACCUUUCAGUGGGGGAUAACUAUCCGAAGGGAUAGCUAAUCACGCAUAUUCUGUGAGCAGGAAAGCAGGGGCUCGCAAGACCUUGCGCUGCUUGAGCGGCCGAUAUCAGAUUAGCUAGUUGGUGGGGUAAGGGCCUACCAAGGCUACGAUCUGUAGCGGGUCUGAGCGGAUGAUCCGCCACACUGGAACUGAGACACGGUCCAGACUCCUACGGGAGGCAGUAGUGGGGAAUUUUGGACAAUGGGGGCAACCCUGAUCCAGCCAUGCCGCGUGAGUGAAGAAGGCCUUCGGGUUGUAAAGCUCUUUCGGACGGGAAGAAAUCGCAUCGGCUAAUACCUGGUGCGGAUGACGGUACCGUAAUAAGAAGCACCGGCUAACUACGUGCCAGCCGCCGCAGUAA
rnacentral:rRNA from 1 species